UACGUAGGGGGCGAGCGUUGUCCGGAUUUAUUGGGCGUAAAGAGCGUGUAGGCGGCCAGGUAGGUCUGCUGUGAAAACUCGAGGCUUAACCUCGAGAUGUCAUCGGAAACCAUUUGGCUAGAGUCCGGAAGAGGAAAGUGGAAUUCCUGGUGUAGCGGUGAAAUGCGCAGAUAUCAGGAAGAACACCAAUGGCGAAAGCAGCUUUCUGGGACGGUACUGACGCUGAGACGCGAAAGCGUGGGGAGCGAACAGG
rnacentral:rRNA from 1 species